UCCUUCCCCUCCGCCGCCUGACCUCCUCCUUGCACCCGCUGCUGCCCGGUCUCCUCCCGCCCGCGCCUCCCUCUCCUCCUUCCUCGCUGCCGCCCGGCCUCCUCCCCACCCGUGCCUUCCUCUCCUACUUCCACCCCACCGAUCUGGCGCCACCAAACCCUAGCACCCCACUCGGCCCCGGCUCCCACGGGAGGGAAGGAGGAAUGACGAGGCGAGGCAAAGGCGGCGGCGUAUGGGACGUGGCGCGGGCAGCGUGGCCCAGGGGGUCGGCCUCCUCCUCUCCUACGGUGGCGUGCCGCCUCCGCCGUCGGUAGGAGGGGGCCCGAUGGCCGCCGCGCAGCCCGACCAGGAGCUCCCCGGCGAGUAGCCGUUCCCCUACGAGAAGAAGGUGAGGAGGACACGCCCCUGCGUCAAGAGAUCCGUCAAGAGUUGCUCGCGCUGGGAGAGGAAUCCACGUCUGCUCCUGCUGCUCGACUGAUUCUAGAUCGAGGGACGCCUGCUUCUGCUCGCUACGGACGGCGCCCGCCAGCCACACAGAAGUAGACUCAGCGGACAUUAUGUCAUGGACGAACUGUAGGUGGCUCAGUCUGAUUGACACAAGAAAGGGGCAAGGCCAGCUCCAUGUUCCUCUAGCAGAACUGGACCACCAAUCGUUAUAGUUCUGGUCUCAGGAAGCAGGAUGAAUUGGUCCAUCAACGAACACUUUUGCUGCAAAUCUUGGCAGGUAAUUGCUAGCUUAGCAACACAAAUACCUCACAUUGAUAUACGUACAAUGUCAUCAUAGGUGGUUUAUUACUCUUGGUUUUCUUUUGAGAGGGUAGUGAUUUAAGAAGAAUAGUUUGAACUUGAGACUACAAAUAAUCACAGAAAAUAUAGGUGUAACAGUUAUAUGGGUGUACUUAGAUCUACGUUGGUGGUGACAUCAUAGGACAUCACAAAGAUAGAGUUGUUGAUUUGAUUUUCAGCCAAUUAAUUUCACACGGAAUCUAAACGUAAGUUAAGUAUUACUACGAUUUCUCCCUUAAGUAUGAUGAAUCAAUUUGUUUAAAAUAGCAGAUAUUCGUUAAUGGUGCAAGCUUGUAAUAGGUAUUGUGACAAAUUUGUUUUCUCAAUGAUGAUGGAAGUUGAUGAAAGCACCGAAGGAACAAUUGAAUAAGACAUGUUCGACAAGAGAAAAACAUUAAGGGGAAGAAAAUGAUGGACAAUUUGUUCAUUGGCUGCAGUUUUUUUAACAUAGUUUCACAUUCAGUCAAUGCUCUGCUCGGUUUUAGUUUCUUUGGGCAUGUGCUCUAUAUAGCUUUAUGGUCUCUCCUUCUGGCCUACCAUGUUGUUUUAUAAUUUAUUUCUGUUCACAAACCUAGGCUUAGUCAGUGUUAUACCGUAUUAGACUAUGUGUUCUGUCCAGCAGGGAUUAUUUAUCUGUGCUUCUUGGUGUGCCCAGAGAGUCUGAUUAGAGAAAAGUCAGUUCACAUCUCAGUAGCUUUUGUUGUUUACUUAGUCAGCAUGGUGCAGGUUCAUAUAGCAGUACACAUGUGUGAAUAGAAACUCUUCAUGCAAGGUGGCAGUAAAAGGCCUUUUGAUUUUACCUUCGGCACUACAAGCAGCUAAUAAAUAGGCCCAUUGAUAAGUUUUGACCACAAGAAUGUUCUAACAAACCUUAUCUUUGAUUGCGGCUAAAAGAGAACUAACUAGGCCCUAGUCAUCUUCGCCCCUGAUAGUGCUCCUAGAUGUGCUACACAUCACCUCCUCGUCUCCUUGGCCGCUUCGCAGCCAGUGGCGUUCGUGCUCGUCGGCAGGAUGGUGCAAGGCGCAACUCCGACGUGGUUCCUCGCCGGUUGGACGGUGUUCAGGCGCAACCCCGGCGCCCACUGAGUAUUGCCUCGGCUACAACCUCCCUCGGUGAGCUCCAUCUUCCCCUGCAGCUUGAGGAUCCAACUGCCUCUGCCUCGGCUGCCUCUGUCCUUGGAUGGUCAUUCUUGUUGAGUGAUAACCAGGGCAACUCUAUUGUAUAAAUAGAUUGAUUUGGUGAUAAGAGAUGAUGGGGUAGGUUAUAUGAUCGAGGAAAGGCGAAUCUGAGCCCACUAUGCAAUAGAACUGCAGCUACCUCCCCUAAUGUGUGUAGUAUUGAAGGCAAUAAAGAACUUUUCAUGUCUUGCUACUUUAAAAUUAAAAAAAGGUUCAUUCUUCCUUUGCUGGUUACUUAACCAUGAUUUUUGUUUUGCUUUGGUUCUGGUUGAGAUACUAAAGGUUGUUUAUUUAUGAAAAGAACAAACACUUGUAGUUUUGUAUGCCUCAGUUGUUGCUUAGGAUCCAGUGUUGUAGUGCUUUGCCUAAUUACAAAUAACUCUAAUCAACAAUAGUGGUAUCAAUAAUAGUGGUUCUUUCCUUCUGAUUUGAACUGAGAGAGAGAGCCAUUGGUUCUUGAUCUUAAGGUGACCCCAUUUUUCUAUGCCUCAUGCUCAUGCUGCUCUAUGUUCCCUUUUAAAAAUUCUUGCUUGCAUUUUGGGUUGGUUUCUGCUCUAUGUUCCCUUUUAGCGUUUCUUUCCGUUGUUGCUGCACUCCCUUUUGGGCGUUCAUUUCAUGCCCGGGAUCUUGCAAAUUGUGCCUGUGCCGAGCUUGCUUUAGAGUACGGGCUGCGGAGACGUCGAGGACCUCAAGGUCACCGAUGUUGUGGAGCUGGACAAGGUUUCCACGCAGUUCAUCGACCACCUGUUCUUCCUGGAGAAGGUCUAGAGAUGAUUUACUCUGCCAGGCGGCAGCACUCGAAGCACACAGGAUCCUGAACCUCAACAACGACCCCUACUUUUCUGGGCCCUAAUUUAUUCAAAGAACACUACAUGUCACAUGAAUUCAAAAUUACUUCUCUAGAGGUAAUUAUUAGAACCAGCUUCUUGAGUUUGCUUGCUUAGCAUGUAGUAGUAUGCUGAUUUCAUCGAUUACAGUAUGAAUGCUUAUAAAAUGAUGAUUCUAUCGAUUUUGUGGGAUUUUGUGAUUCCUAUGGAAUUAAGAUUAAGAGCCCACCUAUUGGCCUGGCCCUAAUGUAAGAUCAAUCACGCCUGUUACUUAGUUUUCCAGUUGGAUUCACUUAGCUCACUUGGAUCAUAGGUAGUUCUUCCUCUAAUUAACCAUAGAAAAGUUUUUAUGAAUUGUGAAAUGUUUGCUUGUUGUUUCUGCAAUAUGAUGUUUGUGCUUACCAUCUUCUAUUGUUUCCUAUGUUUUUCUCAGUUAUUCAAAGAACACUACAUGUCACAUGAAUUCAAAAUUACUUCUCUGGAGUUAUUCAAAGAACACUACAUGUCACAUGAAUUCAAAAUUACUUCUCUGGAGAAAAUACCAAGGAAGACUGGUGGGACUAUGGUUUGGCAAGGAGAGCUUUACUAGGACUGAGUAUGACGAACAAGUAUGGAUGCAAGAAAUUUCUCCUGAAAAUAGGACUUGAGAUAUUCUCCAUGUUUGAUGGCCAUGACCGAGGUUUGAUGUUUUUGUAUUUGCUGGGAUUUGAUAGGACCAGGAGUCCAGGACCAUGAUACUCGUAGUAUCGUUCCAUGGCACUGACAGGUACGUCAUAUAUUUGAUGAUGCAGCCCCUACCUUUUUGUAAUUUUUAUUUAUGAGGCAUCUCCUAUCUUUGGCUUGGGGUUAUUUUUGGCAGGCCUAUUGUUUGCUGCUUGUGAUGAUUGAUAGAGGUUUUGGGUCUAUGUUUAAGCCUCGGUGAGGUUUUGGGUCUCUGUUUAAUCCUUGGUUCAUGAGGAUCCAUAUAUAGGUGGUUCAUAUGUUAAUUGGUUAUGAUUUCCUUGUGUUGAUUGGUGGCCUUCGACGGAUUCGUGCAACUAUAUGCAUUACUCAUGUUUGUUGCUUUCCCAGUGAAACAUAUCACAUGCUCAGCAAGAAAACAAAGUCUCAGCCUACUACCUGCAAGACUUUAGUCUUUAAUGACUAAAUGAACGGAUCACAUGAUACAUAGAUGGGGAAUGCCAUUGCUCAAAGGCGAGCAUACGUGACCUUGUUGAAGGAGUUUUGCCCUCCGUUUGUGUCUCAAAUGUCGAUGAUGCCCUCUGUGCUAUCACUCGCAUGUCCUUUUUAUUUUGUUUAUUCAGCGAAUGUUGGAUUAGACAAGGAUUUAUUCACGUUGGAUCUGUACAACUAUGGACUAUUCAUGCAAUUUUUUAUUCAAACUUUGAAAUGA